rnacentral:lncRNA from 1 species
GUGUGGUUUAUUCAACAAAUAAGUGAAGAACGUGAUCACUAUUGGUAUCGGUUUAGCAAUUUCAAGCACAUUCCAAAGCUGAACCAAAUUCAAAGUUGUGGCAAAUUCUUUUACCUUAAUUUCAUUAAAGCCAAUGUUGAAUAUGGUUUUUUUUUUGUUAGCAAUGUCACCAGUGCAGAUUGAUGACAUAGAUAUAGUUUCUUUGUGUUCACAGUAGUAUAUUGAAUUUGAUAGACAUAGCUCUUUUGGUUUUUACACAAUGUUGAAUAUGGUUUCUUUGUUUUUUGCUGUUUAAAGAAGUUGAUUUGUGACUGUAUGAUGAUAUCAUAACAUUUGUUCUUAUGUAAGUGGCAUUUUUCGUUC